rnacentral:rRNA from 1 species
UACGGAGGUCCCAAGCGUUGUUCGGAUUUACUGGGCGUAAAGGGAGCGCAGGCGGAUUGAUAAGUGGAAAGUGGAAUUCCGGGGCUCAACCUCGGAAGUGCUUUCCAAACUGUCAGUCUUGAGUACGUGAGAGGAAGGCGGAAUUCAGGGUGUAGCGGUGAAAUGCUUAGAUAUCAGAAGGAACACCAAUGGCGAAGGCAGCUUACUGGACAACAACUGACGCUGAGGCACGAAAGCGUGGGUAGCGAAAGGG